GAAGUACUGUGACAGAAAUGCUUGUACGAACUCGAACCCAGGCACAGAGAAACACAGCAAGCAGAGAAGACUGGGGGGGAGGAGUGUGAGGAGAGGAGGGGUGUUUCCCAAAUGGCAUCCUAUUCCCUAUUAAGUGCACUACUUUUGCCCAUGAAGCCCAUGGGGCUCAUUUUGGAAGCAGAAGAGGAGAUGCUGCCAACAACCAAAACUCAGUGGAUGCCCUGUGUUGCAUUCUGAUGAGGCACUGCCUCUUCUUCAUCACUUCGGCUGUGUUUCAUUCUAAGAUGUUCCCCCUUACUUCUACCCUCGUUCCCUUCCUUUAGUGGAUCUGAGACAACUGGUCCUCCCGGUGUUGACCCUUGCCUGUUUUCUGGACUCUGUACCCGCCGGCCUGACCAAUCAGCCUGCCC